UCCCUGGUGGCUCAGAUGGUAAAGCAUCUGCCUGCAAUGCAGGAGACCUGGGUUCGACCCCUGGGUCUGGAA
rnacentral:tRNA from 1 species